rnacentral:rRNA from 1 species
GACGAACGCUGGCGGCGUGCUUAACACAUGCAAGUCGAACGCGCCUGUCCUCUGGGUUUCUGGGGGGUGGGUGAGUGGCGAACGGGUGAGUAACACGUGAGUAACCUGCCCCCUUCUUCGGGAUAACGGUCUGAAAGGGCUGCUAAUACCGGGUAUUCACUGGUCUCCGCAUGGGGUCUGGUGGAAAGGUUUUUUUCUGGUGGGGGAUGGGCUCGCGGCCUAUCAGCUUGUUGGUGGGGUGAUGGCCCACCAAGGCUUUGACGGGUAGCCGGCCUGAGAGGGUGACCGGUCACAUUGGGACUGAGAUACGGCCCAGACUCCUACGGGAGGCAGCAGUGGGGAAUAUUGCACAAUGGGCGCAAGCCUGAUGCAGCGACGCCGCGUGAGGGAUGGAGGCCUUCGGGUUGUGAACCUCUUUUGCCCGUGGUCAAGCCGCGACGUGGGUCGUGGUGAGGGUAGUGGGUAAAGAAGCGCCGGCUAACUACGUG